GAGGGAGAAACCUGCUGCCGCUCGCCGGCUCUUUGUCUGCUCGGGGACUUGGAACAAAAGGGGAAACUCUGAUGAACUCUCUCCAUCCUCCUCCUCUCUGACGCCUGGUUAUCUUUCCUCUCACAACUUUGCUGGAGAGACUCUCUCCAGCGCUAGGCACCCAACAAGUUCGGGGGCUUUAGGAACUGGAGUUAGAGAACCAUCUCUUUUAGAAUGGAUAAAAGAGGGGGGAAAAGAAGGUGCCAGAAUGAUGAUGGGCAACAUCUAGGAAGCAAGACAAUGGCUAGAAUACCUUUCUAGCAAGGUACCUUCUCCAGGCUGCAUUGUUUUUGUUGGACAUUUCUGACAAUGGAUAUAGCCAGGCCAAACAAUUACGGAGUGAAAGACGCUAACCUUCGCUUGGGAUUAUCGUUUAAGAAUUGAGUUUUGGAUAUGACAUGACUAUUAUGAAGGAUACUGUUACUGUUGGAAAUACAACUUCUUGAUCACUGGGAAUUCUCUGCCUUAUGGAAGAAGAACUGCAUGGCCUAUUGAUGUUGUGGAUUGCAGAAACGGAUCAAGGGCAGCCUGUGGCCUGCAGAAUGGAUCUUUCAUCAAACCUAAAUCUACACUGGUGUCAAGAGACAAUUAUUCCAGAAAAAAAAAGAAUCUCCCCAAAGAAAGAUAUCAAAAGCAUGCAGACUGUAAGACACACAGAAUUAAGCAUAAAAUAUAAACUGAAAGUUUGAAGAUCC
rnacentral:lncRNA from 1 species